AGGCGGGUGCGGACGGAGACAAAGGCUGGCGAGCGGGGAGAGGUCGGAGCCGGAGCCGGAGCCGGGCGAUGUGCGGAGCGCGGAACCCGGGAUGUCUCCGGAUCUGCCCGCACCAGCCGCGCACAGGCUUCCCGAUGAGCACCCUGUUUACCCUCCUCUGGGGUAGCCUGGAUCUUCGGCCUGCCGCACGAGGACAGCGAUGAAGCUGGGCUCCUGCCAACAGACUUCUGGGUCCCACACUACUCUCAGCUGCUACCACUGCAGCCUUCAGGGUCUCUUCCUACUCACCCAUGAAUGUCUACGCCAGAUAAGGAGGAGAAAGAAGAGGGCUCAGGAUGACAAGUUGCAGGAGAUCCAGCAAGCCAGUGCUGCAUGAGAGAACAAACACAGGGCCUGGAGGGUCACUCUUGCAGACAUCCUGGAGAAGGAUAGAGGGGAGAGGGAAAAAAUGCAGGAGAAGGAGAGGGACAUGCAGUAGGACAUGCCUGCGUUUCUCAGACAGCAAACAGAGAUGCUGCAGACUCUGGUGGACUUGCAGGUUCAACAAUCCCAUGCUCACCUUCCUCUGGAGCCCACAGAGAAUUCAAUAUCAGGACCUCCCUUGGCCUGCCCCUGAACAUUCCAUGUGGCAUCAGGGGUCAGUGCAUAGACAAGACAAUCACAGCUUCACAUACACUGACCUGUGAAAGCCCCAGUUGAUGUAUGUGUACCUGAAAUGGAAAUGACUGUUCUUUCCCCUUCAUAAGUUCUGUUUGCUAAAUUUAUUAAGGUUUAUAAAAUUUGAAAUGGUUUUCUUUUGAAUGCUACAGAAUAACAUUUUAUAUUUUUGAACAUAAUUGAUCUUUAUUGGUUCACAACAUAUGCUGGCUGAUACAGAUCAGUUCUGAAAGUGACCAAUUCCCAGUUACUGCACUGUGUCACACAACUCAUAACAUCAUUCACAAACAAAAUUAAUAGGUCCAUUGACAAUGCAAUACUCCUACAUAUACAGCAAUCAGCACAAGAUUCAGACUAGGCUGCAAAAGAGCAAGGCCAGGUAAAGCACACUGCAGCAACACACAUUACUCUGGCUUGCUAUUAAAAUGGUCUUUCAAAGCCUCACUGAGAUGUAUAGCUCCACGUUGAUCUCUUCUAAUAGCCCUUGUAUCUGAUUGUUCAAAUUCAGCAGACAGCCGCUCCACCUUUACCAUCCACCUGGUGGAAACUUUCCCCCCUUUGCUUCACACAUAUUAUGUAGGACACCGUGGGCAGCUAUAACCAUUAGGAUAUUUUUCUCACUGAGGUCCAAUCUGGUAAAUAAACUACGCCAGCGACCCUUCAAAUGACCAAAGGCUCAUUCUACUGUCAUUCCACCAAAGCCAUCAAGCAUUGCAAAAUCUUUCAAAAAGACCCUGUGCUGGAUAGUGGCGAGUUCUCCAGUGAGAUACCUACCCAUGGUGCACUUCACUCUGCAUCAGUACAAGUGCUCUUGGUGAGUGCAAGCACCGCCAGCGCUGGCCUUAGGCAUGGGUGAAUGGGGUGCAAGCCCGGGCACUGUUACAAAUGGGGCACCUCCGGAGCAGGGGUGCCCCUCCCCCUGCUGGCAUCUUCAACCCCAUGGCUCCUGCCCCCUGUCUUGGAGCUGCCCCUAGCCAGCUGCUCCCAGGAACUUCCUGUCUGCUGUAAAGGGGCGGGGAGGGGCUCUGAUGUCAGGCUGCCUCCACCCCCCCCCCCCGCCCAUGUACCCUGUCUCCACAGAGCGGGGGCGGGUGUGUGUGUGAGGACAGGGCUCACCAAGAGAGGGACGGAGCUGCUGGUGGCUACUGCUGUAUCUGAAGGAGCUUUCCUUCAGACUCUUGAGUGCAGCUCUCUUCAAGGGGCAGCACGCGGUCUCUCACACACUCCCCCAGCUCACACAUGCCGGCAGCUCACAAAUGCUGUCUCUUUCACACUCAUCGCCCCCCAACACAUACUUAUAUUGUUGUUUGUACUUGUUGGUACUUCCUGCAAUACACAUAUAGUCUCUGUAAUUUUAUUCUUUCAAAGUGCUGUUAUUUUAGUUUUUUGACUGGUCUGUGCAUUUCAUAAUUUUAUUUCUUUCUUAUGCUUACAUUGAAUUCUUUGAGUAGUGAGUUCUAAAAUGCCUAACCUGUCCUCGUUGGAGUAAUUAUAAUUAUUACUGUUAUUAUCAUAUUGUGCUUUGUCAUUCAUUAUUUAAAGUGGUACAAGCAAAUAAUAGUAUCCUCCUAGAAUGCACCUUUAGCUUGUACUCAUUUAGUAAUGCCAGUUUAAAAAACAUUAGCUAAACACAUAACUUUAGACACUGGGCAGAUGAAGGUGGCUUAUGUUCAAAUUAUAUUUUUAGUUAUAUCUGUAAAAUAGCUUAAAAUUUGCAUGAAAAUAAACGCAGUUCCAGCUCUGAUAUCAACAGCAAUGAUGGAGUCAAAUGUUAGUGAGUCACAGACAUGAUUGUGAUCAGUAAACAUAGAUGCCGAGAUAAUUAGAAAAAUUAAUUCCCUUUCUUAAUAAAAGAGAAAAAAACCCUUACUCACACAUGUUGAAAUAUGUUUUAAAUGAACAACAAUUGACUAGAACAGAGGAGAUAAUGGCAGUAACACAGUGUUUCUGUUAGAGAAGGUAAGCAGAUUAUAUUUAUUUUUAUUUAUCUCCACUAAAGAUAGUGAACUGACACCUCAAGGCUUGGGAUGGGGAAUAUCUUGCUGUAUUAUCUCCUGAUUGUUCUAAAUUUACAUAUAAACUUUAAACGUGGCUUUAAUUGGCAUUUGUA